rnacentral:lncRNA from 1 species
GUCAAGUACAUCACUCUCACUAGAUGCAACCAAACUAUCACUUAGCUAUUGUUCUCCCAUCCGAUUACGCAGUCGAUUAUUGACAAUUUUCAUUGCAAAAAAUACUCUUUCUACUGUAGCAGUAGCACCUGGAAGAAUUAACGCCAAUGUUACAAGUCUGUAAACUAUGGAUACACCUCAUGUUUUUCAUCGCAACCAACUUUUUUGUAAGAUCAUUAAGACCUCGUAACCCAUCAAAAUCUACAUGAGUGCACAUAUCAACAAUAUAUGUUGCUCUUCAAGUGCCAAGACCAUUGUACUCACUUCGCAUAUUGCUUGCCCCAUCAUAACCUUGAUAUCUUAAACUAUAUAUACUUAAGUUCAAUCUAGAGAAUAAGUGAUCAAUAGAAUCCUUAUCUGAGAGAGCUGUGGUACUAGAGACAUGUUCAACUUCGAUAAAACAUUUCGUUACUUUUCCUUUCUGAUUCAUAUAACGUAGAACAAUUAACAUUUGCUCAUUCGCUGAUACAUCAUGAGAUUCAUCAUCAAGAAUGAAAAAUAACCCAUCACCAAUAUCCUUCACAAUAACAUCCAG